GCCCACUUCGCCAUUUUCCUCCGGAAGUGCGGAUCCCAGCGGCGGUCGUGUAGCUGAGCAGGCCUGGGGCUUGGUUCUAUGUCCCUGUAGCUAUGUUUCCAGUGUCCUCUGGGUGUUUCCAAGAGCAACAAGAAACGAAUAAAUCUCUGAGAGGUGCCCAGUGAAUGCAGGUUCCAGACAAAAGGUGGAGCCUGGCAUCCUGCCCUGCAUGGGCUCCAGCCUGCUGCCAUCUGGGGAAACUGAGUCAUGGCGAGGCUCAAGGAUGUUUCUCAGACCACACCAGUCCCUGAAGGUCCGCUGACCUCCCAAUCUUGACGGACAGUGAGAAGAGGUUCCCAGGCCACCUGCAAUAGGUUCUGGCUCGGCCUGGGUUGGGCCCCGCAGCGCCUCCACCCCAGAGACCCGGACCAAGUUCACACAGGACAAUCUGUGCCACGCCCAGCGCGAGCGCCUGGACUCGGCCAACCUGUGGGUGCUGGUGGACUGCAUCCUUCGCGACACCUCCGAGGACCUGGGACUCCAGUGUGACGCCGUGAACCUGGCCUUCGGGCGCCGCUGUGAGGAACUGGAGGACGCGCGGCACAAGCUGCAGCACCACCUGCACAAGAUGCUGCGGGAAAUCACAGAUCAGGAACACAACGUGGUGGCACUGAAGGAGGCCAUCAAGGACAAGGAGGAACCUCUGCACAUAGCCCAGACCCGGCUGUAGUUGCUCUCACACCGGCCCAACAUGCAGCUGUGCCGCGAUGCAGCCCAGUUCAGCCCCAGCUCACACCCCCCAACACCCCCAAGCUGGUGAGUGAGGUGGAGGAGCUGUACAAGUCCAUCACAGCGCUGCGGGAGAAGCUUCUACAAGCGGAGCAGUCCCUGCGCAACCUCAAGGACAUCCACAUGAGCCUGGAGAAGGACGUCACUGCCAUGACCAACAGUCUCUUCAUCGACCGCCAGAAGUGCAUGGCCCAUCGUACUUGCUACCCCACCAUUCUGCAGCUGGCUGGCUACCAGUGAGCAGCGGCACGGUGCUUCCCCCCAAUCCCCCAAAUAAACAGUGCGUUAGCUUUC
ensembl:lncRNA TEKT4P2 tektin 4 pseudogene 2